GGGAGACAAAGGCGCUAUGGGGAUCCGUGGACUACGGGGACUAAAGGGGCAACAUGGAGAGAAGGGAGCCCCCGGAGAAGCUGGCAUGUCUAUCAUUGGUCCCCGUGGUCCUCCGGGACAACCUGGAACAAGAGGUUUUCCUGGGUUUCCAGGCCCAAUUGGUUUAGACGGCAAACC